rnacentral:tRNA from 1 species
UUAAGGCGACAGACUAUAAAUCUGUUUGGCUCUGCCCGCACAGGUUGGAAUCCUGUCGGUGACG